UACGUAGGGGGCAAGCGUUAUCCGGAUUUACUGGGUGUAAAGGGAGCGUAGACGGAAUCGCAAGUCUGAAGUGAAAUCCCUGGGCUCAACCCGGGAACUGCUUUGGAAACUGCGAGUCUGGAGUGUCGGAGAGGUAAACGGAAUUCCUGGUGUAGUAGUGAAAUGCGUAGAUAUCAGGAAGAACACCGGAGGCGAAGGCGGCUUACUGGACGAUAACUGACGUUGAGGCUCGAAAGCGUGGGGAGCAAAC
rnacentral:rRNA from 1 species